rnacentral:lncRNA from 1 species
CGUCAUACUUCUUUGCGUUAGUCAAGGGAACUGCAGAGCGAUUUCACCUAUAUUUCUGUACAGAACGUUUUCGUUCAUUUAGUAUUUUAUCGUUCAUGCGUUCCCGAUUAAACAUAUUUUAUGGCUGUAACAGGACGUUGCAACGGAUACUUUGGACAGCAUUUUUGGACAUCAUAAGCGACCGACAUAGCAAGGCAGUCUAG